rnacentral:rRNA from 1 species
GAUGAACGCUGGCGGCGUGCCUAAUACAUGCAAGUCGAGCGAAUGGAUUAAGAGCUUGCUCUUAUGAAGUUAGCGGCGGACGGGUGAGUAACACGUGGGUAACCUGCCCAUAAGACUGGGAUAGCUCCGGGAAACCGGGGCUAAUACCGGAUAACAUUUUGAACCGCAUGGUUCGAAAUUGAAAGGCGGCUUCGGCUGUCACUUAUGGAUGGACCAGCGUCGCAUUAGCUAGCUGGUGAGGUAACGGCUCACCAAGGCAACGAUGCGUAGCCGACCUGAGGGGGUGGUCGGCCACACUGGGACUGAGACACGGCCCAGACUCCUACGGGAGGCAGCAGUAGGGAAUCUUCCGCAAUGGACGAAAGUCUGACGGAGCAACGCCGCGUGAGUGAUGAAGGCUUUCGGGUCGUAAAACUCUGUUGUUAGGGGAGAACAAGUGCUAGUUGAAUAAGCUGGCACCUUGACGGUACCUAACCAGAAAGCCACGGCUAACUACGUGCCAGCCGCCGCAGUAA